AUUGAACGCUGGCGGCAUGCCUUACACAUGCAAGUCGAACGGUAACAGGCCGCAAGGUGCUGACGAGUGGCGAACGGGUGAGUAAUGCAUCGGAACGUGCCCAGUCGUGGGGGAUAACGCAGCGAAAGCUGCGCUAAUACCGCAUACGAUCUAUGGAUGAAAGCGGGGGACCGUAAGGCCUCGCGCGAUUGGAGCGGCCGAUGUCAGAUUAGGUAGUUGGUGGGGUAAAGGCUCACCAAGCCAACGAUCUGUAGCUGGUCUGAGAGGACGACCAGCCACACUGGGACUGAGACACGGCCCAGACUCCUACGGGAGGCAGCAGUGGGGAAUUUUGGACAAUGGGCGCAAGCCUGAUCCAGCAAUGCCGCGUGCAGGAAGAAGGCCUUCGGGUUGUAAACUGCUUUUGUACGGAACGAAACGGUCCUGGUUAAUACCUAGGGCUAAUGACGGUACCGUAAGAAUAAGCACCGGCAAACUACGUGCCAGCCGCCGCGGUAAUAC
rnacentral:rRNA from 1 species